UACGUAGGGGGCGAGCGUUGUCCGGAAUCAUUGGGCGUAAAGAGCGUGUAGGCGGCCAGGUAGGUCGGUUGUGAAAACUGGAGGCUCAACCUUCAGAGGUCGACCGAAACCAUCUGGCUAGAGUCCGGGAGAGGAGAGUGGAAUUCCUGGUGUAGCGGUGAAAUGCGCAGAUAUCAGGAAGAACACCCGUGGCGAAAGCGGCUCUCUGGAACGGUACUGACGCUGAGACGCGAAAGCGUGGGGAGCGAACAGG
rnacentral:rRNA from 1 species